rnacentral:lncRNA from 1 species
UUCUGUAUAAUGAUGUACAAUGCUCUAUAAUGCUCUAUAAUGCUGUAUAAUGUUUAUAUGAUCCACAACAAGCUAAUUCUAAAAGACUGUAAUACACUACAGGAAGCGUAGGGAGUGCUGUAUAAUGCUGUAUAAUGCUUUAUUAUUCUGUAUAAUGAUGUACAAUGCUCUAUAAUGCUCUAUAAUGCUGUAUAAUGUUUAUAUGAUCCACAACAAGCUAAUUCUAAAAGACUGUAAUACACUACAGGAAGCGUAGGGAGUGCUGUAUAAUGCUGUAUAAUGCUUUAUUAUUCUGUAUAAUGAUGUACAAUGCUCUAUAAUGCUCUAUAAUGCUGUAUAAUGUUUAUAUGAUCCACAACAAGCUAAUUCUAAAAGACUGUAAUACACUACAGGAAGCGUAGGGAGUGCUGUAUAAUGCUGUAUAAUGCUUUAUUAUUCUGUAUAAUGAUGUACAAUGCUCUAUAAUGCUCUAUAAUGCUGUAUAAUGUUUAUAUGAUCCACAACAAGCUAAUUCUAAAAGACUGUAAUACACUACAGGAAGCGUAGGGAGUGCUGUAUAAUGCUGUAUAAUGCUGUAUAAUGCUCUAUAAUGCUGUAUAAUGCUCUAUAGUGCUGUAUAAUGCUCUAUAAUGCUCUGUAAUGCUGUGUAAUGUUGUAACAGGCCUCGGUGGUUGAGCUGCUGGAGCGUCUGGAGGUUCUGCCGGUUCUGGAGUCUCUGGACGUGUCCGGCUGGUCUGGGAUCAGUGAUGGGGUGCUGGAGGUGUUUGUGGAGGCUCGGCGGGGGAUGAGGUUUCUGGGUCUGUUGGCCACCGGAGCUGGAGCCUCCGACUUCCUGUCUGGAGAAGGAAAUCUGAAGGUAGCUGGAGAGUAUAAUAUAACUCAGUGUAACGAGGCUCUGAGGAGGUACAGGGAGAGGGAGGUCCUCCUGCAGAGGGCGCUGCUCCACCUCCACAACCUCACCAACCAGCAGGACAUCGGACCUCAACCCCACACUCUACAGGUCAGAUUAUCACAUAGGAACUUAUCCUGUACAACAGAGGAAGCUCUCGCUCUUCCUUUCCUAGAAUGGUCCUGAUUAGUGCCAGUUCCAUCAUCAUAACGUUUAACAGGCACAGCUGUUAACUGAAAGCCUGAAUUCCAGGUGA